rnacentral:rRNA from 1 species
ACGUAGGUGGCGAGCGUUACUCGGAAUUACUAGGCGUAAAGCGUGUGUAGGCGGGAGCUUAAGUCUGCUGUUAAAUCUCAUGGCCCAACCAUGAAAUGCCGGCGGAUACUGGGCUUCUUGAAUUCGGUAGGGGAAACUGGAAUUCCAGGUGUAGCGGUGAAAUGCGUAGAUAUCUGGAAGAACGCCAAAGGCGAAAGCAGGUUUCUGGGCCGCAAUUGACGCUGAGACACGAAAGCUAGGGGAGCAAACAG